UACAGAGGGGGCAAGCGUUGUUCGGAAUUACUGGGCGUAAAGGGCGCGUAGGCGGCCGAUCAAGUCGGGGGUGAAAGCCUGUGGCUCAACCACAGAAUGGCCUUCGAUACUGUUUGGCUUGAGACCGGAAGAGGUCAGUGGAACUGCGAGUGUAGAGGUGAAAUUCGUAGAUAUUCGCAAGAACACCAGUGGCGAAGGCGGCUGACUGGUCCGGUUCUGACGCUGAGGCGCGAAAGCGUGGGGAGCAAACAGG
rnacentral:rRNA from 1 species